rnacentral:rRNA from 1 species
AGAUCCAGCUUGCUGGAUGCUGACGAGCGGCGGACGGGUGAGUAAUGCAUAGGAAUCUGCCCGAUAGUGGGGGAUAACCUGGGGAAACCCAGGCUAAUACCGCAUACGUCCUACGGGAGAAAGGGGGCUUCGGCUCCCGCUAUUGGAUGAGCCUAUGUCGGAUUAGCUAGUUGGUGAGGUAACGGCUCACCAAGGCCACGAUCCGUAGCUGGUCUGAGAGGAUGAUCAGCCACAUCGGGACUGAGACACGGCCCGAACUCCUACGGGAGGCAGCAGUGGGGAAUAUUGGACAAUGGGGGCAACCCUGAUCCAGCCAUGCCGCGUGUGUGAAGAAGGCCCUCGGGUUGUAAAGCACUUUCAGCGAGGAAGAACGCCUAGCGGUUAAUACCCGCUAGGAAAGACAUCACUCGCAGAAGAAGCACCGGCUAACUCCGUGCCAGCAGCCGCGGUAAUACGGAGGGUGCAAGCGUUAAUCGGAAUUACUGGGCGUAAAGCGCGCGUAGGUGGCUUGAUAAGCCGGUUGUGAAAGCCCCGGGCUCAACCUGGGAACGGCAUCCGGAACUGUCAAGCUAGAGUGCAGGAGAGGAAGGUAGAAUUCCCGGUGUAGCGGUGAAAUGCGUAGAGAUCGGGAGGAAUACCAGUGGCGAAGGCGGCCUUCUGGACUGACACUGACACUGAGGUGCGAAAGCGUGGGUAGC